rnacentral:rRNA from 1 species
CACGUAGCUAGCCGUGGCUUUCUGAUUAGGUACCGUCAAGAUGUGCACAGUUACUUACACAUUUGUUCUUCCCUAAUAACAGAGUUUUACGAGCCGAAACCCUUCAUCACUCACGCGGCGUUGCUCCGUCAGGCUUUCGCCCAUUGCGGAAGAUUCCCUACUGCUGCCUCCCGUAGGAGUCUGGACCGUGUCUCAGUUCCAGUGUGGCCGAUCACCCUCUCAGGUCGGCUACGUAUCGUCGCCUUGGUAAGCCGUUACCUUACCAACUAGCUAAUACGGCGCGGGUCCAUCUAUAAGUGAUAGCAAAACCAUCUUUCACUUUAGAACCAUGCGGUUCUAAAUGUUAUCCGGUAUUAGCUCCGGUUUCCCGAAGUUAUCCCAGUCUUAUAGGUAGGUUACCCACGUGUUACUCACCCGUCCGCCGCUAACUUCAAAGGAGCAAGCUCCUUAUCUGUUCGCUCGACUUGCAUGUAUUAGGCACGCCGCCAGCGUUCAUCCUGAGCCAGGAUCAAACUCU